UAAUACUUUUUUGAGGCUUUUUUCAAUAUUAGUUUUUUCAGUGAAUGUUGGGAAUUCAUGUAAUUGAUGUGUACAGAAUGAGAUGGGAUUAUGUGAUCAUCCUGCGUAGCAUUUUUAACACCAAUUUUUAACUUCAGGGGCUGAACUUGAAUCAUUGCAGGCAUAGCCUGAUGAUCCUCACAAGUCACAAGUAUAUAGAGUGUAACUGGCCUUUCAAAGUAAGAUUAUUUUUGUGCUUAUGUCAUGCUGUUAGUAUUCUUGGUUCAAUAACAGUGCAGUUAACUGUCAGCAAGUAAACAUAGAAGAGGCAGAAAAAUGUCAUCACCUCUUAAGAGGAAUCAGAAAGUAGAAAGACUGCACUGUGACAAAAGAGAUAAAUUUAAAUGUUUAAACAGAAUUAUUACAGCAAAUAAAACAUUGUUUACAUAAUGGAGCAGAAAUAGUUCUGUGAUUAAUGCAAUUGACAGCACAUAACCUAUAACAGAAGUCUUGCACUGAAAUCACGCUAAUUGAAACAACUGUCAUUUAAUAAUGAAAUGACGUAAAAUGAUAGCAAAAGAGUUUACACUGAAAUAUACAAAGCUCAGUCAUAGUACAUUUUAGAUAAUAUACAAUUUAUAAUUUUUUGGAAAUACCUUUCAGUCUUUUGGGCUACAUACAAUUCCUGUAGGAUGGGAGGCAUCAGGAGAUCUUACGUUUUUCUCAUCAGUUAAUCUAGAAACCAGAGAGGCCUUCAAACCAAAUUUUCAAGGGACUACAAGCUUCCAGCCAGAAGGGCAGGGCAGAGCAGUAACUGCAACACUGUAUGAGGAAUCUGUUUAUCUUCCUGUUCCAGAGAGAAACUUUCUCCGCCCAUCCAAAGGCGCAUUUGCAAAGGCAGCUUCUGUUUUUUUCCUGGCAAAUCUACAAUGCAAAUCUAUCGUGACUGAUUGAGAGGGUAGCAUUAUCACAGAAGAUUUGGUGGACAAGUGUAAUCAGGAUCUGCAUUACCAUGGCAGCUUUCUCUGUUACGCCAAUGGGACUGCUCUGAAUUUUAAAAGAUCUGAAUUUGGCUGUGGAUGAGUAAGCAGAUGCAGUAUGCAAAUACUGUGCUUGUGACUUCAACAGCAGGUUGCAGAAAAAGAAUAUCUGAUCAAUCGCCCUGUCCCAGACUAGCCGCAGGAAAUGUUGCUUCUGGUAUGAUGGGGCUUUACAGAUGUCUGUCUCAUCAUUGUGUUUUACUACUCAAAUGUCCUUGAAAUUUUCAAGAUAGAGCUUUAAGAAGCAACACAAAAUGUUUGAUAAAGUGACAUUAUUUUAUACUAUACAGAAUAACUGAGAAAGUGAUGUGAAACAAGUGCCUACAAUAUGUUUAUUUUUUUCUUGAAAGUUUGACUUUUCAGAUUGUAAAACUUCAACCUGCUACCCAUGAAGAAACAGAACAAAAUAGUAUCACUUUCAAACAGCUGCAUGGUCUAUUUAAAUGUGUAUAAUAGACAUGAAAUAAUCACCUUCAUUCAGAUAUUGGGGUUGUGAUUUAACAGAAAAAAUUCCUCUGAAAGAAGAACGCUAUUCCUGGACUUCAGUAGAAAAAAGUUACAGAAAGAGGACGGCUUGUGGUGGUCAACGGAUUGUAAG